UUGUUUUUUGUUCGACAAAUCAGUAGGGGAUCGCACAAAAGAGAAAAAGAAAGAGGACGGCUGUUGUUGGCGCAGAAAAAAAAAGAGGCAUUCGGUUCGAGUUUGGAGCAUUGCGGGUUCGAUAUUACGCUGGACUGAGUUGUUUGUGAAUGUGCAUGACAGGUGUCGUUAGAUUUCUUGACAUGGACUUGCUAUCUGGGAGUGCUGGAGUGGUCAUAGAUCGAGGCUCUUGGAUAUAUUUGAUACUUUGGUUUUGA
rnacentral:lncRNA from 1 species